rnacentral:rRNA from 1 species
GACGAACGCUGGCGGCGUGCCUAAUACAUGCAAGUCGAGCGAGACUCUUCGGAGUCUAGCGGCGGACGGGUGAGUAACACGUGGGCAACCUGCCUGUAAGACUGGGAUAACACCGGGAAACCGGUGCUAAUACCGGAUAAUCCUUUUCCUCUCAUGAGGAAAAGCUGAAAGUCGGUUUCGGCUGACACUUACAGAUGGGCCCGCGGCGCAUUAGCUAGUUGGUGAGGUAACGGCCCACCAAGGCGACGAUGCGUAGCCGACCGGAGAGGGUGAUCGGCCACACUGGGACUGAGACACGGCCCAGACUCCUACGGGAGGCAGCAGUAGGGAAUCUUCCACAAUGGACGAAAGUCUGAUGGAGCAACGCCGCGUGAGCGAUGAAGGCCUUCGGGUCGUAAAGCUCUGUUGUUAGGGAAGAACAAGUACCGGAGUAACUGCCGGUACCUUGACGGUACCUAACCAGAAAGCCACGGCUAACUACGUGCCAGCAGCCGCCGUAACAC